GAUGAAGAACGUAGCGAAAUGCGAUAAGUAAUGUGAAUUGCAGAAUUCCGUGAAUCAUCGAAUCUUUGAACGCACAUUGCGCCCCCUGGCAUUCCGGGGGGCAUGCCUGUCCGAGCGUCAUUUCUGCCCUCAAGCACGGCUUGUGUGUUGGGUGCGGUCCCCCCGGGGACCUGCCCGAAAGGCAGCGGCGACGUCCGUCUGGUCCUCGAGCGUGUGGGGCUCUGUCACUCGCUCGGGAAGGACCUGCGGGGGUUGGUCACCACUAUAUUUUACCACGGUUGACCUCGGAUCAGGUAGGAGUUACCCGCUGAACUUAAGCAUAUCAAUAAGCGGAGGA
rnacentral:misc_RNA from 1 species